rnacentral:rRNA from 1 species
UACGUAGGGCGCAAGCGUUGUCCGGAAUUACUGGGCGUAAAGGGCUCGUAGGCGGCCAACUAAGUCGGACGUGAAAUCCCUCGGCUUAACCGGGGAACUGCGUCCGAUACUGGAUGGCUUGAGUGUGGGAGAGGGAUGCGGAAUUCCAGGUGUAGCGGUGAAAUGCGUAGAUAUCUGGAGGAACACCGGUGGCGAAGGCGGCAUACUGGCCCACGACUGACGCUGAGGAGCGAAAGCCAGGGGAGCAAACGGG